rnacentral:rRNA from 1 species
AUUGAACGCUGGCGGCAUGCCUUACACAUGCAAGUCGAACGGCAUCGCGGGAAAGCUUGCUUUCCUGGCGGCGAGUGGCGAACGGGUGAGUAACACAUCGGAACGUACCGGCUAGUGGGGGAUAACCCGUCGAAAGACGGGCUAAUACCGCAUACGCUCUUCGGAGGAAAGCAGGGGACCCUUGGGCCUUGCGCUAGCCGAGCGGCCGAUGUCCGAUUAGCUAGUUGGUGGGGUAAAGGCCUACCAAGGCGACGAUCGGUAGCGGGUCUGAGAGGACGAUCCGCCACACUGGGACUGAGACACGGCCCAGACUCCUACGGGAGGCAGCAGUGGGGAAUCUUGGACAAUGGGGGCAACCCUGAUCCAGCAAUGCCGCGUGGGUGAAGAAGGCCUUCGGGUUGUAAAGCCCUUUCGGCAGGGAAGAAAUCGGCGGGGCGAAUAACCCUGCUGGAUGACGGUACCUGCAGAAGAAGCACCGGCUAACUACGUG